rnacentral:rRNA from 1 species
GACGAACGCUGGCGGCGUGCUUAACACAUGCAAGUCGAACGGAAAGGCCCUGCUUUUGUGGGGUGCUCGAGUGGCGAACGGGUGAGUAACACGUGAGUAACCUGCCCUUGACUUUGGGAUAACUUCAGGAAACUGGGGCUAAUACCGGAUAGUAGCUCCUGCUGCAUGGUGGGGGUUGGAAAGUUUCGGCGGUUGGGGAUGGACUCGCGGCUUAUCAGCUUGUUGGUGGGGUAGUGGCUUACCAAGGCUUUGACGGGUAGCCGGCCUGAGAGGGUGACCGGCCACAUUGGGACUGAGAUACGGCCCAGACUCCUACGGGAGGCAGCAGGGGGGAAUAUUGCACAAUGGGCGGAAGCCUGAUGCAGCAACGCCGCGUGCGGGAUGACGGCCUUCGGGUUGUAAACCGCUUUCGCCUGUGACGAAGCGUGAGUGACGGUAAUGGGUAAAGAAGCACCGGCUAACUACGUG